GCUGGCGGCGUGCCUAACACAUGCAAGUCGAGCGAUGAAGCUCCUUCGGGAGUGGAUUAGCGGCGGACGGGUGAGUAACACGUGGGUAACCUGCCUCAAAGUGGGGGAUAGCCCUCCGAAAGGAGGAUUAAUACCGCAUAACAUUCAGACCUCGCAUGAGGAAUGAAUCAAAGGAGUAAUCCGCUUUGAGAUGGGCCCGCGGUGCAUUAGCUAGUUGGUAAGGUAAAAGCUUACCAAGGCGACGAUGCAUAGCCGACCUGAGAGGGUGAUCGGCCACAUUGGAACUGAGAUACGGUCCAGACUCCUACGGGAGGCAGCAGUGGGGAAUAUUGCGCAAUGGGGGAAACCCUGACGCAGCAACGCCGCGUGGGUGAUGAAGGUCUUCGGAUUGUAAAACCCUGUCUUCUGGGACGAUAAUGACGGUACCAGAGGAGGAAGCCACGGCUAACUACGUGCCAGCAGCCGCGGUAAUACGUAGGUGGCGAGCGUUGUCCGGAUUUACUGGGCGUAAAGGGUGCGUAGGCGGACUCUUAAGUGGGAUGUGAAAUACCCGGGCUUAACCCGGGGGCUGCAUUCCAAACUGGGAGUCUAGAGUGCAGGAGAGGAGAAUGGAAUUCCUAGUGUAGCGGUGAAAUGCGUAGAGAUUAGGAAGAACACCAGUGGCGAAGGCGAUUCUCUGGACUGUAACUGACGCUGGGGCACGAAAGCGUGGGUAGCAAACAGGAUUAGAUACCCUGGUAGUCCACGCCGUAAACUAUGAAUACUAGGUGUAGGAGGUAU
rnacentral:rRNA from 1 species